rnacentral:rRNA from 1 species
GACGAACGCUGGCGGCGUGCUUAACACAUGCAAGUCGAACGGAAAGGCCCUGCUUUUGUGGGGUGCUCGAGUGGCGAACGGGUGAGUAACACGUGAGUAACCUGCCCUUGACUUUGGGAUAACUUCAGGAAACUGGGGCUAAUACCGGAUAGGAGCUCCUGCUGCAUGGUGGGGGUUGGAAAGUUUCGGCGGUUGGGGAUGGACUCGCGGCUUAUCAGCUUGUUGGUGGGGUAGUGGCUUACCAAGGCUUUGACGGGUAGCCGGCCUGAGAGGGUGACCGGCCACAUUGGGACUGAGAUAUGGCCCAGACUCCUACGGGAGGCAGAAGUGGGGAAUAUUGCACAAUGGGCGGAAGCCUGAUGCAGCAACGCCGCGUGCGGGAUGACGGCCUUCGGGUUGUAAACCGCUUUCGCCUGUGACGAAGCGUGAGUGACGGUAAUGGGUAAAGAAGCACCGGCUAACUACGUG